CACACAAGUUAUUGUGAAAAAUCUUUACAAGUAUGCAUAUAUGGUUAUAAGUGCAUGAUAUGCCUCUGAAGCAACUACACAAGAACCUUCGAAGGAACAACGACCGUCUCCAUCAAGGAGAUUCAUGGAUGAGAUGUUCCCAGUGGCUCAUAGGUAAGCUCUUUGAUGGAGUCCAUAAUGCAAUUAGUAGGAUCCAUAUCCUUUUAUGCCCCCCCAAGAGUCCUAUCCAUUGUUCUCCCAACCUUUUUCCACCCUCUAGUCAUGUAGCUCAGGAUUCGGUAAUGUCUAACGGGCAAGACAGAAAUGAGCUCCUUUGGCAACAUCUUGGGUAAGCAGGAUAUUCUUUCACAUGCUCUCCCUUUCCCCUGUGGGACAAAUCAUGGGCCAAGAAAAUCUCUCUUGGCUCUGAGAUGUGUCACCCUGGGGAAUGGGAAAUUUAGGUAAAGUAGAACUAUUCCUCUUGCCCUCUCCUAUGUAUACAGACAUACUUUUGUUUGUUUGUUUGUUUGUUUGUUUGUUUUGUUUUUACUCCAGCAAUGUUCUGCAACUUCUCAGGAAACCUGGACUUCCACAAAGGCCCCCUUGUCCAUGGGUGAUUUUCUAAGACAGUUUUCCAGGAGUUCCUGGACAACAGCUGAAGGGCAAGAACUGUUCAUAAAUCACUACAGAGUCCACAACUAAGAUAUCCACAAUGUUUGUCUGUCUGUGGGCCAAUGGACAGUUGGGCACAACUCCUGCCCAUGUUCCUUGGCACAUGGUGCUGGAUUCCAUGGCUCCCACAAAGGGACUGUGACUGCGGAUGGAUGCUGAAUUCUUGCUGUUGAAAUGAGGACCAAAAAGAAGAAAUGUCUUCUCCUGCCAUGAUGCUGAUGUCACUCUGAGUCCAGGAUUUUCAUUGGGGGCUGGUCACAUUGGCACUUUUUCCCUACACAAUAAGCUAUGAUUUCCAAAGUUCCAGACUCCCAGAAGAAAAGCAGGUAUUUACUAUGAAUCACAUUGUUUGCACAAACAAUUUCGAUAAGCUGGUACAGCAGGGUUUAGUGCCCAAGGCAUGCAAAACAGUCUUAUGAUUUAGUAACAGGGAAAAUUCCAAAGUCAAGUUUCCAUAUGCCACCCUUACAAGCAAGUUCUUCAAAGGGCAACAUCAGAGCUGCUAUAUUAACUCCUUCCUACACGGGCACACUGGCACUGUUACUACACCCAGCAGAGGUAUUUCCUUUCCUUAGCUACAGUUGAAUCUGGUUGGGAUUUUAUUUCCACAACUUCCAGAAAUAGCCUCAUUCCUCUGCCGAGAAACCAGGCACCAGCCCACUAUCUCCAUCUCUUCAGAUGUCUGAGUUUCACUUCUACAAAUCUCUUCCUUAGAGCUUUUAAAUUUUAGUAAUUCCAACCCCGUCUUUGUUCAUCUUGACCCAGGAGUGGUCACUGUUUCCUGAAGUUACUAUUUCUCUAUUUUAUGAUUUUAGUGGGUUUUUUUUCCCUUUCACGUGACAUUGUUAACAACCUUAGACUUAGCUUUAAAAUAUUGAUGUUCAGUUGUAUCUCUUCAGGUAACUACUGUGCUUUUUGCUAGACCCUGACUGAUAGACUAGACUAUCAGUCUAGUCUCUUGCUAGACUCUUCCUUUGGCAGAGAUGGUAGACAAGCAAGGGCCAACAGGAUUUAUUGAUUCCUUACUCACGAUUCUCCCUUUUUGGUACCAGAUUUGUGGUACCAAAUCUGUGCUAAAGCAGCUGUGGUAAUGGCAACAGUGACAGCACCAGCUGCAAAUUUACUGACCUCUGAUGACACCUGUGGUAGGUGAACUUGAAACAAAAUUUUAGCAUCGGCCUCCCCAAAUCUCCCUUCUCCAGUUCUUCCAAUGACACUUCAAGUGUUUCUGAAGUUUCUUCCUCCUUAUAUCACCUAGAGUAAUUUUUGAUUCCUGUGCUAAAUUUUGAUAGCUCUAUAGGUCUACAGGCUAUUUAUUAAAAGACUACAGGGGGGCCUGGGUGGUUCAGUCGGUUAAGUGUCUGAGUUCAGCUCAGGUCAUGAUCUCACGGUUCAUUAGUUGGAGCCUCACGUCAGGCUCUGCGCUGACAGCUCAGAGCCUGGAGCCUGUUUCGGAUUCUGUGUCUCCUCCUCUCUCUGCCACUCCCCUGCUCACGCUCAGUCUCUCUCUCGAAAGUAAACAUGAAAAAAAUAAAAACAAUAAAAUAAAAGACUACA
ensembl:lncRNA